rnacentral:rRNA from 1 species
GAUGAACGCUGGCGGCGUGCCUAAUACAUGCAAGUCGAGCGAACGGACGAGAAGCUUGCUUCUCUGAUGUUAGCGGCGGACGGGUGAGUAACACGUGGAUAACCUACCUAUAAGACUGGGAUAACUUCGGGAAACCGGAGCUAAUACCGGAUAAUAUUUUGAACCGCAUGGUUCAAAAGUGAAAGACGGUCUUGCUGUCACUUAUAGAUGGAUCCGCGCUGCAUUAGCUAGUUGGUAGGGUAACGGCUUACCAAGGCAACGAUGCAUAGCCGACCUGAGAGGGUGAUCGGCCACACUGGAACUGAGACACGGUCCAGACUCCUACGGGAGGCAGCAGUAGGGAAUCUUCCGCAAUGGGCGAAAGCCUGACGGAGCAACGCCGCGUGAGUGAUGAAGGUCUUCGGAUCGUAAAACUCUGUUAUUAGGGAAGAACAUAUGUGUAAGGAAAUGUGCACAUCUUGACGGUACCUAAUCAGAAAGCCACGGCUAACUACGUG